rnacentral:rRNA from 1 species
UGAUAGCUGGUUCUCCCCGAAAUAUAUUGAGGUAUAGCCUCAUGGAUUGUCUACCGGAGGUAAAGCACUGACAGGGCUAGGGGUCCUACCAGAUUACCAAACCCUAUCAAACUCAGAAUGCCGGUCAGAUGUACCAUGGGAGUCAGACGGCGGGUGCUAAGGUCCGUCGUCGAGAGGGUAAGAGCCCAGAUCAACAGCUAAGGUCUCCAAAUCUAUGCUCAGUGGUUAAGGUGGUGACGUUGUAGAGACACCCAGGACGUUGGCUUAGAAGCAGCCAUCGUUUAAAGAAAGCGUAAUAGCUCACUGGUCUAAUGACGUUGCGCCGAAAAUGUAACGGGGCUAAGCAUAGUACCGAAGCUUUGAAUUCCGCGAAUGCGGUCUGGUAGGGGAGCGUUCUUCACGGGCUGAAGGUGUGUCGUAAGGCAUGCUGGACUGUGGAGAAGUGAUUAUGCUGACAUGAGUAACGAUAAAACGGGUGAAAAACCCGUUCGCCGUAAACCCAAGGUUUUCCGGGUAAAGGUAAUCUUCCCGGAGUUAGUCGGCCCCUAAGGCGAGGCUGAAAGGCGUAGCUGAUGGGAAACGUGUUAAUAUUCACGUACUUGUGUGUUCGCGCGAUGAAGGGACGCAGGAAGAUAGGCAAGCCGGGCGCUGGUUGUCCCGGUGCAAGCGUGUAGGGAUGAGAAGUUGGCAAAUCCGCUUCUCUCUAUCCUGAGACGCGAGUCCGUGACCGAAAGGUCUGAAGUUGUUGAGUCUAUGCUGCCUAGAAAAGCUUCUAAGUAUAGGACACGCAAACCGUACCGGAAACCAACUCAGGUGGGUGGGAUGAAUAAUCCAAGGCGCUCGAGAGAUUCACUCUGGCCAAGGAACUCGGCAAAAUAACCCCGUACCUUCGGAAGAAGGGGUGCUUUUUAGGGUGAAGCGAUUCACUCUGUCGAGCCCUGAAAAGCCGCAGAGAAAUGGUGGUGGCGACUGUUUACUAAAAACAUAGGUCUGUGCCAAGUCGUAUAGACGACGUAUACGGACUGACGCCUGCCCGGUGCUGGAAGGUUAAAAGGAGGAGUCAGCGCAAGCGAAGCUCCGAAUUGAAGCCCCAGUAAACGGCGGCCGUAACUAUAACGGUCCUAAGGUAGCGAAAUUCCUUGUCGGGUAAGUUCCGACCUGCACGAAUGGCGUAACGAUCUCCACACUGUCUCGGCCAGAGACUCGGUGAAAUUGAAGUCGCGGUGAAAAUGCCGUGUACCCGCAGAAAGACGGAAAGACCCUGUGCACCUUUACUAUAGCUUGACAUUGGGAUUUGAGCCUGCAUGUGUAGCAUAGGUGGGAGGCUGUGAACUCUGUACGCCAGUAUGGAGGGAGCCAUCGUUGAAAUACCACCCUUGUUUGUUCAGGUCCCUAACUCUUCGCCGUGAUCCGGUAAGAGGACAGUGUCUGGUGGGUAGUUUGACUGGGGCGGUCGCCUCCCAAAAUGUAACGGAGGCAUGCAAAGGUUCCCUCAGGCUGAUUGGAAACCAGCCGUCGAGUGCAAACGCAAAAGGGAGCUUGACUGCAAGAGAGACAUCUCGAGCAGGUACGAAAGUAGGUGUUAGUGAUCCGGUGAUCCCGAAUGGAAGGGUCAUCGCUCAUUGGAUAAAAGGUACGCCGGGGAUAACAGGCUGAUCGCAUCCAAGAGUUCACAUCGACGAUGCGGUUUGGCACCUCGAUGUCGGCUCAUCACAUCCUGGGGCUGUAGCAGGUCCCAAGGGUACGGCUGUUCGCCGUUUAAAGUGGUACGCGAGCUGGGUUUAAAACGUCGUGAGACAGUUUGGUCCCUAUCUUCUGUGGGCGUAGGAGAAUUGAAAGGGCCUGUCCCUAGUACGAGAGGACCGGGAUGGACACACCACUGGUGGACCUGUUGUCGUGCCAACGGCACAGCAGGGUAGCUAUGUGUGGAAGGGAUAACCGCUGAAAGCAUCUAAGCGGGAAGCCUGCCUUAAGAUAAGUUCUCCCUGACGCAAGUCCUGAAGGGCCGAGGUAGACGACCUCGUUGAUAGGCUGGAGGUGGAAGCCCUGUGAGGGGUGGAGCUGACCAGUACUAAUAGCCCGUGCGUCUUGUUUCU